UACGUAUGUCGCAAGCGUUAUCCGGAUUUAUUGGGCGUAAAGCGCGUCUAGGCGGUUUGGUAAGUCUGGUGUGAAAAUGCGGGGCUUAACUCCGUAUUGCGUUGGAAACUGCCAAACUUGAGUACUGGAGAGGUGGGCGGAACUACAAGUGUAGAGGUGAAAUUCGUAGAUAUUUGUAGGAAUGCCGAUGGGGAAGCCAGCCCACUGGACAGAUACUGACGCUAAAGCGCGAAAGCGUGGGUAGCAAACAGG
rnacentral:rRNA from 1 species